GACGAACGCUGGCGGCGUGCUUAACACAUGCAAGUCGAACGGAAAGGCCCUGCUUUUGUGGGGUGCUCGAGUGGCGAAGGGGUGAGUAACACGUGAGUAACCUGCCCUUGACUUUGGGAUAACUUCAGGAAACUGGGGCUAAUACCGGAUAGGAGCUCCUGCUGCAUGGUGGGGGUUGGAAAGUUUCGGCGGUUGGGGAUGGACUCGCGGCUUAUCAGCUUGUUGGUGGGGUAGUGGCUUACCAAGGCUUUGACGGGUAGCCGGCCUGAGAGGGUGACCGGCCACAUUGGGACUGAGGUACGGCCCAGACUCCUACGGGAGGCAACAGUGGGGAAUAUUGCACAAUGGGCGGAAGCCUGAUGCAGCAACGCCGCGUGCGGGAUGACGGCCUUCGGGUUGUAAACCGCUUUCGCCUGUGACGAAGCGUGAGUGACGGUAAUGGGUAAAGAAGCACCGGCUAACUACGUG
rnacentral:rRNA from 1 species